UUGUUUUUUUUUGUGACGUGGCGUUUAAUUAAAUGUAAUAAAUAAAUGAUAAAAAGAAAAUUUCUGUAAGCGGGAAACCAGACGUGAGAAGCUAAAAAUGAAAAUUAGAGAGAGAAAAUGUGAUGCGAAAACUGAAGGGAAACGAAAAACAGAGAGAGAAAAUGUUAUGCAAAAUCUGAAGAGAGAGAAAAAAACCAGAGAUCUGAAUCUGUAUCUUCUUCAUUGGGGAUAUUCUUCUUCACGAGGCGUCUAGCAUUUAGUAAAAACCAGAGCUGCGUCUUCUUCGUCCAGCUGCGUUUUCUUCGUCAUUUCAAAAAGCUUUCUCCCGAGCUGCGAAGAGCGAGAGAGAGAGAGAGAGAGAGAGAGAGAGAGAGAGAGAGAGAGAGAGAGAGAGAGAGUAAAAACCAGUUUAGAGAGUUAAAAGCUUUUUAUCUUCUUCUUCGUGCAUCUAGCUUCUCCCGAGCUUUGUCUCCAAGGGUCCUUAUCUUCUGUUUCUGGUAGGUGUUAUCUUGCCCACUUGGAACUGAUUGUAAAUGGGUUUUAGUUUUGGAAAAUGUUGUUGGGUGCUGAUGAUUUUGUAGCAUUAAGAUUUCUGUGAACUCGAAAUGGCCAUGGUGUUGUUCGUGUAAGAUUUUUUCAACACGAUGUACUUUGCAAGUAACUGUAAACAUACUGAAAAUUUUCAAGUAUGUGCACUAAUAUUUUCCCCCAUUGUUGAACAAAAGAAAUUGUAUAAUACCAUCUAGAAUAUAAUCCCAAGAAAAAGGACACGCGAAUAAGCAACUUGGUAAUAUUUGGGUGCUGGGCAUAAGGAUUUGUAUUCAGAUUGGUCCACAUCCAUGCUUUGAACUGUCAACUUGCCCAAAUCUGAGAGUAUGCAACAAAUUUCACCUUUAUGAUACUUUUGGUUCUUAAUAUUUUAUUAGCCUCCUUUCAGGUUUGAUGCUAUUGUGUAAGCAGAUGCUUUCGAGAAUUUGAAGCCUGCUCAUGAUAUUUUCUUAAGUUGCAUCAAAGAUUCUGAAUGUGCUCAAGUGCUGCCCAGUGAAGUAUACUGAGAGAUUCUGCAGAUUAUUGUCUUUUGAGACAUGUUUUCUAAACAAUUAUUUUUAUUGGCUUCAAACAUAGGUUGUAUUGAAUAUUCUGAUUUAAUUUUUUCAUCUCAAUAAUUUGCCAAUUUUUCUUUUUUUCACCUUACUGCUGAAUGAGUGUUUGUCAGCAUAAUUGUCCAGUGACUGAAUUGAUCAUUGUAGCUUUUCUGUGACCAAUCACUCUUAUAUUAUUGAAAUAAUUUUAUGCCUAUAUUUUCCUAGUGUAUUGUCAUUGAAGAUGCAUUAGCUGGAGUUCAAGCUGCCAAAGCUGGUCAAAUGAAAUUUAUAGCCGUGACAACUACAUUGUCUGCAGAAACUUUAAAGGCUGCCAGUCCAUCACUUACCCGGAAUGAGAUAGGAAGUGUUUCACUGCAUGAUAUUCUUAGGGGUGGCUCAGAUGGCUAUAGUAUGUAGUCCUGAGAGUAUGAUGCAAAUGUCAAUUUGUACCAUUAUUAAUGUAGAAUGCUGAAGCUACAGUUGUUUCAUGUUUUAAGAACUAUAAGUAAGAUCAAUUUUCUUGUAA